rnacentral:rRNA from 1 species
UACGUAGGUGACGAGCGUUAUCCGGAUUUACUGGGCGUAAAGCGCUUGUAGGUGGUCUUGUAAGUUGGGCGUGAAACCUCCGGGCUUAACCCGGAGACGCCGUCCAAUACUGCGAGGCUGGAGGAUGUCAGAGGAAGGUGGAAUUCCUGGUGUAGUGGUGAAAUGCGUAGAUAUCAGGAGGAACACCCGUGGCGAAGGCGGCCUUCUGGGGCAUUCCUGACACUGAGAAGCGAAAGCUAGGGGAGCAAACAGG